GAUGAACGCUAGCGGGAGGCCUAACACAUGCAAGCCGAGCGGUAUUGUUUCUUCGGAAAUGAGAGAGCGGCGUACGGGUGCGUAACACGUGUGCAACCUGCCUUUAUCUGGGGGAUAGCCUUUCGAAAGGAAGAUUAAUACCCCAUAAUAUAUUGAACGGCAUCGUUUAAUAUUGAAAGCUCCGGCGGAUAGAGAUGGGCACGCGCAAGAUUAGCUAGUUGGUGAGGUAACGGCUCACCAAGGCGAUGAUCUUUAGGGGGCCUGAGAGGGUGAUCCCCCACACUGGUACUGAGACACGGACCAGACUCCUACGGGAGGCAGCAGUGAGGAAUAUUGGUCAAUGGGUGCAAGCCUGAACCAGCCAUCCCGCGUGAAGGACGACUGCCCUAUGGGUUGUAAACUUCUUUUGUAUAGGGAUAAACCUACCCUCGAGAGGGUAGCUGAAGGUACUAUACGAAUAAGCACCGGCUAACUCCGUG
rnacentral:rRNA from 1 species